AAAUAUAUGUUAAGUGGAAAAGGAUGUGGCGUUGCCCAGACAACUAGGAUGUUGGCUUAGAAGCAGCCAUCAUUUAAAGAGUGCGUAAUAGCUCACUAGUCGAGUGACACUGCGCCGAAAAUGUACCGGGGCUAAACAUAUUACCGAAGCUGUGGAUUGUCCUUUGGACAAUGGUAGGAGAGCGUUCUAAGGGCGUUGAAGCAUGAUCGUAAGGACAUGUGGAGCGCUUAGAAGUGAGAAUGCCGGUGUGAGUAGCGAAAGACGGGUGAGAAUCCCGUCCACCGAUUGACUAAGGUUUCCAGAGGAAGGCUCGUCCGCUCUGGGUUAGUCGGGUCCUAAGCUGAGGCCGACAGGCGUAGGCGAUGGAUAACAGGUUGAUAUUCCUGUACCACCUAUAAUCGUUUUAAUCGAUGGGGGGACGCAGUAGGAUAGGCGAAGCGUGCGAUUGGAUUGCACGUCUAAGCAGUAAGGCUGAGUAUUAGGCAAAUCCGGUACUCGUUAAGGCUGAGCUGUGAUGGGGAGAAGACAUUGAGUCUUCGAGUCGUUGAUUUCACACUGCCGAGAAAAGCCUCUAGAUAGAAAAUAGGUGCCCGUACCGCAAACCGACACAGGUAGUCAAGAUGAGAAUUCUAAGGUGAGCGAGCGAACUCUCGUUAAGGAACUCGGCAAAAUGACCCCGUAACUUCGGGAGAAGGGGUGCUCUUUAGGGUUAACGCCCAGAAGAGCCGCAGUGAAUAGGCCCAAGCGACUGUUUAUCAAAAACACAGGUCUCUGCUAAACCGUAAGGUGAUGUAUAGGGGCUGACGCCUGCCCGGUGCUGGAAGGUUAAGAGGAGUGGUUAGCUUCUGCGAAGCUACGAAUCGAAGCCCCAGUAAACGGCGGCCGUAACUAUAACGGUCCUAAGGUAGCGAAAUUCCUUGUCGGGUAAGUUCCGACCCGCACGAAAGGCGUAACGAUUUGGGCACUGUCUCAACGAGAGACUCGGUGAAAUCAUAGUACCUGUGAAGAUGCAGGUUACCCGCGACAGGACGGAAAGACCCCGUGGAGCUUUACUGUAGCCUGAUAUUGAAAUUCGGCACAGCUUGUACAGGAUAGGUAGGAGCCUUUGAAACGUGAGCGCUAGCUUACGUGGAGGCGCUGGUGGGAUACUACCCUAGCUGUGUUGGCUUUCUAACCCGCACCACUUAUCGUGGUGGGAGACAGUGUCAGGCGGGCAGUUUGACUGGGGCGGUCGCCUCCUAAAAGGUAACGGAGGCGCUCAAAGGUUCCCUCAGAAUGGUUGGAAAUCAUUCAUAGAGUGUAAAGGCAUAAGGGAGCUUGACUGCGAGACCUACAAGUCGAGCAGGGUCGAAAGACGGACUUAGUGAUCCGGUGGUUCCGCAUGGAAGGGCCAUCGCUCAACGGAUAAAAGCUACCCCGGGGAUAACAGGCUUAUCUCCCCCAAGAGUUCACAUCGACGGGGAGGUUUGGCACCUCGAUGUCGGCUCAUCGCAUCCUGGGGCUGUAGUCGGUCCCAAGGGUUGGGCUGUUCGCCCAUUAAAGCGGUACGCGAGCUGGGUUCAGAACGUCGUGAGACAGUUCGGUCCCUAUCCGUCGUGGGCGUAGGAAAUUUGAGAGGAGCUGUCCUUAGUACGAGAGGACCGGGAUGGACAUACCUCUGGUGUACCAGUUGUCGUGCCAACGGCAUAGCUGGGUAGCUAUGUGUGGACGGGAUAAGUGCUGAAAGCAUCUAAGCAUGAAGCCCCCCUCAAGAUGAGAUUUCCCAACUUCGGUUAUAAGAUCCCUCAAAGAUGAUGAGGUUAAUAGGUUCGAGGUGGAAGCAUGGUGACAUGUGGAGCUGACGAAUACUAAUCGAUCGAAGACUUAAUCAA
rnacentral:rRNA from 2 species